GCAGGCUGAGGGGCUGGAGAGAUGGCUCAGAGGUUAAGAGCACUGGCUGCUCUUGCAGAGGUCCUGAGUUCAAUUCCCAGCAACCACAUGGUGGCUCACAGCCAUCUAUAAUGAGAUCUGGUGCUCUCUUCUGGCAUGCAGGCAACACGCAGAACACUGUAUUCAUAAUAAAUAAAUAAAUUUAAAAAAGAAAAGAAAAGAAAGCAGGCUGAGCAAGCCACGAGGAGCCAGCCAGUAAGCAGCGCCCUCCAUGGCCUCCUGCCUCCAGGGUCCUGCCCUGCUUGAGCUCUUCUCCUGACUUCCUUCAGCAAUGGACAGUGAUGUGGAAGUGUCAGCCACAUAAACUUGGCGUUUGCUCAUGGUGUUUCAUCAUAGAAAUAUUAACCCUAACUAAGACAGAUGGGCUGUCACGGGCGGAGGGCGGCGCUUUAACAUGGGGAUGUGGGUGGUGGAAGUCAGGGAGGCACACAGAGGCACACAAGAGUAGUGGGGCCAACUGACCCAGGAUCUUCAGGAACACGACCUCCUGGCCCUCUGAAGGAGCCUUUUAUGCCCCAGAAGGACUAUCAACACUCAGGAAUUGGCUUCCCUGUGGACAUACUGGGCUGCCCUCACCUGAUGGAGUUUGGGGAUGUGUGGCCCACUGGACAGCUCCUGGGCAUGUAUGUUGGCUCAGAAGGCAAGACAGGCCACCUGGACUGGCCUCAUGUUCAUCCCUCAUACUGCACACUGUAUAGGCAAGUAUCUAGAGGGGACACAGGUGACAGGAGCCCACGCAGUGGGCAGGGAGGGUCCCUUUCUAGCCAUGGGGCCUCACCAUGCCACCUACCCCGUGGUGAUACUAAGUUGCUGAAAUCUGUUUCUCAGCUUGGACCCUCAUCUUUUGUCCUAUUGGCCCAAAGCUCUACUGGUCAGCUGUGCCCUGGGAAACCUAGGGGAGACGGGCAUAUCACUGUUGUUGUGAUCACCCAGAAAGGAGAGGGAGGAGGGUAUGUGUGAUCUCUGUCUGAGCUGUCAGCAGUUUCUUCCCAGGUAAGUCAUAACUUCUCUGGACAGGUUUCUUCAGCUUCUUCCUCCCUGCAUCUGAGCUCCCUCCUUGGUUGUUAAAUGACAGUAUUCCUUGGGAGGUGAGGGUAUCAGGAAGGCUGGGAGGAGGUGGGCCCAGGCCUGAAGACUCCUAGUUGGGAGGCUCCCCAGGUCUCCCAAGGCCAAUAAAUAAGCCGGUCCAGCUCA
rnacentral:lncRNA from 1 species